GACGAACGCUGGCGGCGCGCCUAACACAUGCAAGUCGAACGGAAAGGCCUGCUUUCCCUUGUGGAUUGCGGGUACUCGAGUGGCGAACGGGUGAGUAACACGUGAGUGAUCUGCCCCCAACUUGGGUAUAAGCCUGGGAAACUGGGUCUAAUUCCCGAUAGGACUGCAGGGUGGUGCCUGUGGUGGAAAACGAUUUUCUAGUGGUUGGGGAUGAGCUCGCGGCCUAUCAGCUUGUUGGUGGGGUAAUGGCCUACCAAGGCGGCGACGGGUAGCCGGCCUGAGAGGGUGGACGGCCACAUUGAGACUGAGAUACGGCCCAGACUCCUACGGGAGGCAGCAGUGGGGAAUAUUGCACGAUGGGCGGAAGCCUGAUGCAGCGACGCCGCGUGGGGGAUGACGGCCUUCGUGUUGUAAGCUCCUUUCGACCUCGAGGAAGCCACCUGGUUGGGAGGGUGGUGACGGUAGUGGUAGAAGAAGCACCGGCUAACUACGUG
rnacentral:rRNA from 1 species